GCCUCUAUGUAUGAUAACAUGACAUAUGUACAAGUUUCAGGAUUUACGGAAUAAAAUAGCAUUUAUUAGAAUUUUCGAAAUGUACCGACGCACGUUCCGUGUCGUGUCUCCUAACCACGACAUUCAAAAGUCAUUUCCGUUUCGAAUGUGUGUUCUUAGACAGGGUUGGAUAAUAUGAAUAUCAUUUUUUCGAUAUUUUUUUUCAACUAUUUCACUGACUUGUAGUUCAAAUUUGAACGCAACCGGAAAAAUGAAAAUAAAUAAUGUUAAAUGCAAAAAUAUAGCAAACAUAUUUCAAAUUUUAUGAAAUUUGAGUAUGGAGUUACAAAUGGUGAAUGUGUAGAGAAAAAAAAAAUUGGAGGACAAAAACUGAAAAAAAAAAGAUAAAUUGUUUGCCGUGUGUCGCACCCCUGGCACACGGCAAAGUUUAUGUUUGCCGUGUGCCAGGCUCAAGCACACGGCAAACCCAGGCUUUGCCGUGUGCCUAACGGCCGCACACGGUAAACGUUGACGGCU
rnacentral:lncRNA from 1 species